CCUACGGGUGGCUGCAGUGGGGAAUCUUGGACAAUGGGCGAAAGCCUGAUCCAGCAAUGCCGCGUGAGUGAUGAAGGCCUUAGGGUUGUAAAGCUCUUUUACCCGGGAAGAUAAUGACUGUACCGGGAGAAUAAGCCACGGCUAACUCCGUGCCAGAAGCCGCGGUAAUACGGAGGGGGCUAGCGUUGUUCGGAAUUACUGGGCGUAAAGCGCACGUAGGCGGCUUUGUAAGUUAGAGGUGAAAGCCCGGGGCGCAACCCCGGAACUGCCUUUAAGACUGCAUCGCUUGAACGUCGGAGAGGUUAGUGGAAUUCCGAGUGUAGAGGUGAAAUUCGUAGAUAUUCGGAAGAACACCAGUGGCGAAGGCGGCUCACUGGACGACUGUUGACGCUGAGGUGCGAAAGCGUGGGGAGCAAACAGGAUUAGAUACCCCAGUAGUC
rnacentral:rRNA from 1 species